rnacentral:rRNA from 1 species
GACAGAGGGGGCAAGCGUUGCUCGGAAUCACUGGGCGUAAAGGGCGCGUAGGCGGGAUGGCAAGUCGGUCGUGAAAUCCUUCGGCUCAACCGAAGAACGUCGGCCGAUACUGCCGUUCUUGAGGGAUGCAGAGGAGAUUGGAAUUCCCGGUGUAGCGGUGAAAUGUGUAGAGAUCGGGAGGAACACCGGUGGCGAAGGCGGCUCACUGGCCCGGUACUGACGCUGAGGUGCGAAAGCGUGGGGAGCAAACAGG